AGCGAACGCUGGCGGCAGGCCUAACACAUGCAAGUCGAACGAACCUUUCGGGGUUAGUGGCGGACGGGUGAGUAACACGUGGGAACGUGCCUUUAGGUUCGGAAUAACUCAGGGAAACUUGUGCUAAUACCGAAUGUGCCCUUCGGGGGAAAGAUUAAUCGCCUUUAGAGCGGCCCGCGUCUGAUUAGCUAGUUGGUUGAGGUAAUGGCUCACCAAGGCGACGAUCAGUAGCUGGUCUGAGAGGAUGAUCAGCCACAUUGGGACUGAGACACGGCCCAAACUCCUACGGGAGGCAGCAGUGGGGAAUCUUGCGCAAUGGGCGAAAGCCUGACGCAGCCAGGCCGCGUGAAUGAUGAAGGUCUUAGGAUUGUAAAAUUCUUUCACCGGGGACGAUAAUGACGGUACCCGGAGAAGAAGCCCCGGCUAACCUCGUG
rnacentral:rRNA from 1 species